rnacentral:rRNA from 1 species
GUAGUCCUGGCUGUAAACGAUGUCGACUUGGAGGUUGUGCCCUUGAGGCGUGGCUUCCGGAGCUAACGCGUUAAGUCGACCGCCUGGGGAGUACGGCCGCAAGGUUAAAACUCAAAUGAAUUGACGGGGGCCCGCACAAGCGGUGGAGCAUGUGGUUUAAUUCGAUGCAACGCGAAGAACCUUACCUGGUCUUGACAUCCACGGAAGUUUUCAGAGAUGAGAAUGUGCCUUCGGGAACCGUGAGACAGGUGCUGCAUGGCUGUCGUCAGCUCGUGUUGUGAAAUGUUGGGUUAAGUCCCGCAACGAGCGCAACCCUUAUCCUUUGUUGCCAGCGGUCCGGCCGGGAACUCAAAGGAGACUGUUAGUGAUAAACUGGAGGAAGGUGGGGAUGACGUCAAGUCAUCAUGGCCCUUACGACCAGGGCUACACACGUGCUACAAUGGCGCAUACAAAGAGAAGCGACCUCGCGAGAGCAAGCGGACCUCAUAAAGUGCGUCGUAGUCCGGAUUGGAGUCUGCAACUCGACUCCAUGAAGUCGGAAUCGCUAGUAAUCGUGGAUCAGAAUGCCACGGUGAAUACGUUCCCGGGCCUUGUACACACCGCCCGUCACACCAUGGGAGUGGGUUGCAAAAGAAGUAGGUAGCUUAACCUUCGGGAGGGCGCUUACCACUUUGUGAUUCAUGACUGGGGUGAAGUCGUAACAAGGUAACCGUAGGGGAACCUGCGGCUGGAUCACCUCC